GACGAACGCUGGCGGCGUGCUUAACACAUGCAAGUCGAACGGAAAGGCCCUGCUUUUGUGGGGUGCUCGAGUGGCGAACGGGUGAGUAACACGUGAGUAACCUGCCCUUGACUUUGGGAUAACUUCAGGAAACUGGGGCUAAUACCGGAUAGGAGCUCCUGCUGCAUGGUGGGGGUUGGAAAGUUUCGGCGGUUGGGGAUGGACUCGCGGCUUAUCAGCUUGUUGGUGGGGUAGUGGCUUACCAAGGCUUUGACGGGUAGCCGGCCUGAGAGGGUGACCGGCCACAUUGGGACUGAGAUACGGCCCAGACUCCUACGGGAGGCAGCAGUGGGGAAUAUUGCACAAUGGGCGGAAGCCUGAUGCAGCAACGCCGCGUGCGGGAUGACGGCCUUCGGGUUGUAAACCGCUUUCGCCUGUGACGAAGCGUGAGUGACGGUAAUGGGUAAAGAAGCACCGGCUAACUACGUGCCAGCAGCCGCGGUGAUACGUAGGGUGCGAGCGUUGUCCGGAUUUAUUGGGCGUAAAGGGCUCGUAGGUGGUUGAUCGCGUCGGAAGUGUAAUCUUGGGGCUUAACCCUGAGCGUGCUUUCGAUACGGGUUGACUUGAGGAAGGUAGGGGAGAAUGGAAUUCCUGGUGGAGCGGUGGAAUGCGCAGAUAUCAGGAGGAACACCAGUGGCGAAGGCGGUUCUCUGGGCCUUUCCUGACGCUGAGGAGCGAAAGCGUGGGGAGCGAACAGGCUUAGAUACCCUGGUAGUCCACGCUGUAAACGGUGGGUACUAGGUGUGGGGUCCAUUCCACGGGUUCCGUGCCGUAGCUAACGCUUUAAGUACCCCGCCUGGGGAGUACGGCCGCAAGGCUAAAACCCAAAGGAAUUGACGGGGCCCCGCACAAGCGGCGGAGCAUGCGGAUUAAUUCGAUGCAACGCGUAGAACCUUACCUGGGUUUGACAUGGAUCGGGAGUGCUCAGAGAUGGGUGUGCCUCUUUUGGGGUCGGUUCACAGGUGGUGCAUGGCUGUCGUCAGCUCGUGUCGUGAGAUGUUGGGUUAAGUCCCGCAACGAGCGCAACCCUUGUUCACUGUUGCCAGCACGUUAUGGUGGGGACUCAGUGGAGACCGCCGGGGUCAACUCGGAGGAAGGUGGGGAUGACGUCAAGUCAUCAUGCCCCUUAUGUCCAGGGCUUCACGCAUGCUACAAUGGCUGGUACAGAGAGUGGCGAGCCUGUGAGGGUGAGCAAAUCUCGGAAAGCCGGUCUCAGUUCGGAUUGGGGUCUGCAACUCGACCUCAUGAAGUCGGAGUCGCUAGUAAUCGCAGAUCAGCAACGCUGCGGUGAAUACGUUCCCGGGGCU
rnacentral:rRNA from 1 species